UACGUAGGGGGCAAGCGUUGUCCGGAUUUAUUGGGCGUAAAGAGCGUGUAGGCGGUUUGGUAGGUCCGUUGUGAAAACUCGAGGCUCAACCUCGAGACGCCGGCGGAAACCAUCAGGCUAGAGUCCGGAAGAGGAGAGUGGAAUUCCUGGUGUAGCGGUGAAAUGCGCAGAUAUCAGGAGGAACACCAAUGGCGAAGGCAGCUCGCUGGGACGGUACUGACGCUGAGACGCGAAAGCGUGGGGAGCAAACAGG
rnacentral:rRNA from 1 species